rnacentral:rRNA from 1 species
CCAAUAGCGUAUAUUAAAGUUGUUGCAGUUAAAAAGCUCGUAGUUGAAUUUCGGGAUCAAGGGAUCGGUCAUGCCUUGGUAUGUACUGGUCUUAUUGGUUCUCACCUUCUAAAGAACCAUGAUGUCAUUCAUUUGAUGUUAUGGGGAAUUAGGACUGUUACCUUGAAAAAAUUAGAGUGUUUAAAGCAAGCUUACGCUUGAAUACAUUAGCAUGGAAUAAUGAAAUAGGACAUCAGAUUCUAUUUUGUUGGUUUCUAGGAUCGAUGUAAUGAUUAAUAGGG